GAGCCACAGAGCGAGACUCCGUCUCAACGAAAAAAAAAAAAAGAAUGUCUAGGUCUCCUCCAGCUUCUUCUACCCUCUUAUCUAUAGAUGCAGGCCAAAUUGUUUAAAUGUCCUGACCCUUCGUCUGUAAAAUAGCGCUAUGACCGCCCACACUGCUCCUGCCUCUUCUCAACAGGGGGUUGUACAGAUCCCAGAGGGAAGCCGCACACGGGAAGGUUGUUGAGACGGGAGAGGGAGACUGCGCAGGCUACAGGUAGAUGCUGCUUCUGAAGCUGCUGGCGGAUUGGGACACGCAUCACAAGGUGGCGUUUGCUUUUAGAACCCAAAUGAGUAAGAUCUCUGAGUUAUAAGCACCUCUCACCUCAACCGGCAGCAGCAGAAGGGGCUGGGUGGUCAUCACGGGGUCUCCUAGGAACACAGAGCCGGCCUGGCCUGGCCCUGUCCACUUACUGCCGGUGAGACCCUGGCCACGUUACUUCAUGUCUCGCAAACUCACUUUUCUCACCUGUAAAAUGGGUUCCUAGCUGUGCCUCGCCUGCUUGCUGGGUGGUGAGGAUCACAGCCUGGAUUGGGAGACGGGUGGGGCGCGCACCAACAGGCAGGCAGGAAACGAAAGGCGGCUCCAGCUUGCCCAAGGGCCAGAGAGAGUCCGUGCUUGGUGUGUGCUGGAGACGGGGCUGAGAGAGACACAAUGUUAUUUUCCUGGAGGUGGGACUUCUCCUUUGGCUGGAGUACCCAGCUGUGGACAGGAAAUCAUUUGUUUGUUGUUAGCCUGGGAGAGGACGUAAGGACCCACAUCUCUGCGCUGCUUGCCCUGGAAUGUGACUUACUGGAAACCUGGGUAACUCGUAGAUGAUACAAACGACUGAAAUGAGACCCUGGAAGCUGCUCUGGCCUCAGCCCAGGUGCAGCCCUGAGGCAGCAGCCGGGCAGCCAGACCUGAGAGCUGCUGGGGCUGCAGGAACUCGGCCACAUCCAGCCACACAAAACAAAACAAAACAAACAUUUCGGGCGAUCCUGGGGCAGCAUCCUUUCCUCAUCCUGCCUGGGCCAGGAGCCUGGGGCUAUGAAGUCGUAACGACUUAUCCAGCGCCUUCUGUCCAGAAUCGGGGGCCCCUCCCAAGAGGAAAUACAGCAUCACAAAAGUCCACACAGAGGCACGCUGGCGGCUGUCGCACUUCGUUGAUCCCUGUAACAGAUGCUGAAACACCAGCUAGUAAAACGGACACUUUGGGGCUGACAUCUGCUGCUGUGCCAGUAAUGAGCACUUCCUGUAUGCACGCACCUGGCUGCCAGGCGCAGGAAAUCCACACAGGCCGCAGAAUAAUUUGAUUCAGACACAGCGCGCACUGUUUCUGAGCUUUCGUGAUUUCAUCUUCCGGAAGGCGAAAAUCAUCCCUCUGCAGAAUUGGAUUUUUAUUUGCUGGUGUUCACCUGACAGGAGGCAUCUCCCGGGAAGAAGCAGUGCUUGCCUCUGCAGGGCAGGCUUGUUUUGUCUCCAAAAUGCCAAACCAGCUGCUUUUUUAAUCCCAUGGAGGCUGUCCAGACACCAGACAUUACUAUAUCCCUGGAAUUAUUCCCUGGGCAGCCGCAAAUGGAGCCGGGAAGAACCUGCCGAAGGGAACGCCUGCAGCCCCAGCUGGCAACGCCAUCCAGACUGCGCUCAGCAUCCACAGCAGCACACACAGGGCGGCAGGAGUCCUUCCUCAGUGCAGAGAGCACCGGAGCUGCCCCACCCUCUCCUAGCCAUCUGCAACUACUGGCCCCCAAGGAGAACAGUAAGAAGAAUUCAGAGGAGCUAAAAUCACCAAGAUUGAGCUAAAGCCCCCGGGACACGCCAGAGGAGCCUCCAUUAGCUCUGUCCCAAAUCCAUCCUGAGGAAACAGAUCAGAGGCAAGAGGCAAAGGGCCAAGAUGAGGCCCCAACACCUUCUUCUUGAAUGUAUGGGGGCCAGGAGACAACAGUCACACCCUCACCCCAGCCUGGUCUGCAGGGUCUGUCCCCCCUGCUUGGUUCUUCCCUAAAGCAACUCACAAAGCCGCUGCAGACAGCAGGACUGCAGUUUUUGAGGCAAACGUUGAGACACAGGUUUUGACAAUUUAAAAAAGAUUUUUCUCAUUAGUAAAUGUAUUUGAGAUGUUAGAGGUUUCACAAAUCAUAUUAACUUAUAUGUGAAUUAAUAUAUUUUGUUAAAUAACAAAUUUAUAUUUUAAUAAACAAUAAAUAAUAUGUAUGUGUGCA